AGUGAACGCUGGCGGUAGGCCUAACACAUGCAAGUCGAACGGCAGCACAGUAAGAGCUUGCUCUUACGGGUGGCGAGUGGCGGACGGGUGAGGAAUACAUCGGAAUCUACUUUUUCGUGGGGGAUAACGUAGGGAAACUUACGCUAAUACCGCAUACGACCUACGGGUGAAAGCAGGGGAUCUUCGGACCUUGCGCGAUUGAAUGAGCCGAUGUCGGAUUAGCUAGUUGGCGGGGUAAAGGCCCACCAAGGCGACGAUCCGUAGCUGGUCUGAGAGGAUGAUCAGCCACACUGGAACUGGGACACGGUCCAGGCUCCUACGGGAGGCAGCAGUGGGGAAUAUUGGACAAAGGGCGCAAGCCUGGUCCAGCCAUACCGCGUGGGAGAAGAAGGCCUUCGGGUUGUAAAGCCCUUUUGUUGGGAAAGAAAAGCAGCAGGUUAAUACCCCGCUGUUCUGACGGUACCCAAAGAAUAAGCACCGGCUAACUUCGUG
rnacentral:rRNA from 1 species